GGAAGAGGGAAGCUUCUGCAGAGCCCAAACCAGCCCCAUUCCCUGGAAAGUGCAUUUCAUCAGACCUGACCCAGGCUGGGUUGUUAAAGACAGGAGGUCUGCGAUCAGAGCAGCCUGGAAAGCCAGAGAACAUUCCAGAUCCAGAGACCCUUAUUCCAAGAAGUUGGAAGUGAGUUGCCAGGCAGACCUAGCUUUUGGGGACACCAUUCAGCCCACUACAGAGAGUGUUCAAGAAAU
rnacentral:lncRNA from 1 species